rnacentral:rRNA from 1 species
AUUGAACGCUGGCGGCAGGCCUAACACAUGCAAGUCGAGCGGAUGAAGGGAGCUUGCUCCUGGAUUCAGCGGCGGACGGGUGAGUAAUGCCUAGGAAUCUGCCUGGUAGUGGGGGAUAACGUCCGGAAACGGGCGCUAAUACCGCAUACGUCCUGAGGGAGAAAGUGGGGGAUCUUCGGACCUCACGCUAUCAGAUGAGCCUAGGUCGGAUUAGCUAGUUGGUGGGGUAAAGGCCUACCAAGGCGACGAUCCGUAACUGGUCUGAGAGGAUGAUCAGUCACACUGGAACUGAGACACGGUCCAGACUCCUACGGGAGGCAGCAGUGGGGAAUAUUGGACAAUGGGCGAAAGCCUGAUCCAGCCAUGCCGCGUGUGUGAAGAAGGUCUUCGGAUUUUAAAGCACUUUAAGUUGGGAGGAAGGGCAGCAAGUUAAUACCUUGCUGUUUUGACGUUACCAACAGAAUAAGCACCGGCUAACUUCGUG